ACGUAAAACUUUGAUUGGUAACUCAUACCUAGUAAGAAUUCAAUUAAUGUCAACAAUUAUUAUAGAAGAGCCCCUAGCAUUCCUGGCACUGGUGGACUCAAAUAAACUUAGUUCUUUCUCUGGAUGAUUCACAUCUUUAAGCUGGGUUUUGGGAGAGAAAGAUCGUGAACAUCUGGAUUAAAAAGUUUUUACAUUCUUUAGAGUGUGGUGGGUUGGAGAUUUUUUUUUUUUUAAUUGAACAUAGCCAUUUUGUGAUUUGAUUUCCUCAGGAUAUGAAUCAGAGAGAAAAAACUGAAGUUUUGUCCCAGAAAAAAAAGGGGAGGACAGGCAGAGGAUUUGUCACUGGUAAGGCAAUUUACACACUUGUCCUUUUCAUAGUGAGUCAUGGUCUGUGAUACAUUUCAUAGCAAUGUCUAUGAGUUUCCAAAUCUGGAAGAAGACAUAUCAGCCAAAUAAGGGAGAGAGAAGAAAACAGGCUUUUAAUCCACCUAGUUACCAUUCACAGAGCUUUAGGAGUGGAACUCCAAAAAAUGACUAUUGCAGCACCCCGCUUUUCGUCAUAUCUUUAAGCCCAUUGAGAAAGAAAAUUAGCUAAUCACUUCUAAAAUAUCUUCAACAGAGCAACAAAGAGAUUCAAUCAGAGAAGCUCCAGUAUUCCAGAGAAAGUUCUUUCUUCCUGAUCUCUUCUCCAAACUUCCUUUUUCUUUGGGGAGGGUGGAGUGGGGUAUAAUAAUUUGAGGCAAAUUCUUUUCUCUUUUUUAGCUUUCAUAUUGGCUGACCUAAGUGCAUCUUAUAGGCUUAAAAAAAGUUAUUAAAGCUGAAGUCUUUAUUUUUUUCUUUAAGUAAUCUCACUUUGUUAAAAAAAAACUCUCUUAAGUCCAGUUCUUCCAUAGUUAAGGCCAUUUGGCGUUACUCUUUUAAGGAUGUCCCCCAGAUUGUCUAAUAAUAGAAUAAAAACAUCCACACUUUGCCCUAGUCACCUGGGUACCCACAGGACUGAAUGCCACUCAGAGUACAUCACAAGUGCUGAAAUAAAUGUUGACCAAAAGCGUAAAUAUGGCCUCAUAUCUGUGUAACUUCUAAUAGUUGAUGGUAAGCUUUACCCUCCUCAAAAAAUUAUCGGAGGGUGUCUUAUGUUCAUACCCCCUCUACUCCAGAAAAACAUCUUUCUUUUAGUUAUAAAUCCAGUAAGUGGUAAAGUGGAGACCUGAAGUAGGAUCUCCAGUUCCCAGUCACGUAAGUUUCUUGACUUUACCUGAACAUUUUCUAAAGUGGAGCUGCUAGUGUUUUGAAAAAAAUACAGAGCCCCCCCCCGACCCCCAACUCAACCUCAUAUUCAGAUAAUGAAGAGAAUAAUGGAAGGAGCAAUAGCAGUUCUAAUAUGUUUGUGUUUGGAAGUGUAUCUGAAUAUCAUGUUAUUUUGUUCAUCGUAAAAUGUUCUUUGUUCGUAGCUAGCUUUUAGUCUUCUCCAGCCUAGAGCUCCAGGUCCCACUGCCUUUCUGCAAGCUUAUCGUUGUUUUUCACAUAGCUUCUCCACAUUUUGUUCUGGGGCAUGGAAUAUUAAUAGGCUAUGACAGGCGCUUUGAAACUCUUCAUCAACAAGAUGUACACGGUGCCUUGAUUGGAUGGUGUGUGGUCAGCGCAAGGAACUUGAACACCUCAUGAUGCAAUCCUUGCUUGUCCAGAUCCGAGCCGCAUCCUCAUGGAUACUAGUUGGGUUUGUUUCCGAUAAGCCAUGGCAGGAAUUCCCAAGAUUUCUGUAGCGCUGAGAUCGACCAUCUUUACCAUUUGUUUCAGUGACUUUCCUAGAACUUAAAGGUGGAUGUUAAAUAAUCAGGGAAAUGCAUAAAAGGGUCUCUUGCAUCAAGCUCUUUAAAAACAGGGACAGUGUCAGAAAUUUUUAUAGCCCCAUCCCCAAAUUCAUAGUCUGUCACAGAGCAGGUGCUUAACAUGUAUUUCUUAUACUGAAUUGGCGUCUGUAAGAAAACCCAAGAAACCUGAGACUCAAUCUUGACUUUGUCCAUAACAAUGUGCCCUCGGAGAGGUUACUAGAUUUGUUAUAUCUUUUCUAAAAUCGGGUACUUAGCUACUCUUAAACACCCAAUGAGAAUAUGAAAGUUACAAGAAGUUGGGCUUUACAGAAUAUUGGUUUUGAACUUCACAGAUCAGGUGGAGUUCUUUUCUUUAAAUAAAUACAAACUGAUGGUCUUUGUGUCAUAAUCCUGUAUCAAGCAAAUAAUCAAUGCAAAGGAACUCUUGGUGACCUACUUGUGGGUUACUGUAUGUAAUUAGUAUGUCAUUUUUGACAAAUUUCUACAACCCUCAAUAUCUAUUUUUCCCCUUAAUUCACAUUCUAUUGUGAUCAUCUUUAUUGUUGAAAUGGAAUUGUCAACUUGAAGAUAAUUUGAAAAAUGGUUUGCUGCAAUCUGGGUUCAUAAAUCUUAAUGGGAAGAGCCAAGAGCCAACAGCUCCGAGCAUUGCGAAAUCAUUAAAUAAGGCUCCUGGAAUAUGUGAGUAGUCUGCCACUUUCUCAUUAAUCUGAGGCAGAAUACCCAGAAAGAGUAUUUCGUAAAUGUUAGUGUUGGGUCCUGGAUGACUUAGGAGUUUAUUGCAUUUAUUAGUGAAGAUGAUCUGUAUUUUAAUGUUGCUUUUUUUUUUUUUUUUUUUUUUUAAUCGUGGAGUUCCCAUUGUGGCUCAGUAGGUUAAGAACCUGACUAGUAUCCAUGAGGUUUCCAGUUCAAUCCCUGGCCUUGCUCACUGUGUUAAGGAUCUAAUGUUGCUGCAAGAUGCAGCAUCGGUCACAGAUGCGGCUUGUAUCCAGCGUGCUAUGGCGUAGGCCGGCAGCUGCAGCUCCUAUUCAACCCCUAGCCCAGGAACUUCCAUAUGCCGCAGAUGCAGCCAUAAAAAAACCAAAAUGCCCACCACUAAGUAGGCAUCAGAAUCACCCAGAGGACUUGUUAAAUCAUGGAUAGCUGAAUACUAUCUUCAGCAUUUCUAAUGAAGUAGAUUUGGGUGGGAUGGGUCCCAAGAAUUCCCAACUAUGACAAGUUUCCUGGUGUUGCUAAAGCUGCGGGUCCAAGGACCACACACUGAGAACACUGUUACCUGAUCUCCCUUACGAUUGCCAAAGCGAGUAAAAAUAAAUAUUCCGUGGGAUUAGCAUAUACACACUGCUCCUCUUUUUUGAGACUACUUUAAUAAAAUGAGACUUAGCUAAGCCAUCAAUGGCGCAAAUCACAGACAGACCUCAAGGGUGUCUGUAUAGAGCUAUGAUGAAUACUGGGGGAAGGAAAGUCAUAAAGAAGAAUGAAAUAAUGCCAUUUAUAGCAACACGGAUGGACCUAGAGAUUACCAUACUAAGUGAAGCCAGUCAGAUAAAGACAAAUAUCAUGUAUAUCACAUACACAUGGAAUCUAAUAAAGAUGAUACAAAAAAGAACUUAUUUACAAAACAGAAGCAGACUCACAGAUUUUUGAAAUCAAACUUAGUUACCAAAGGGGAAAGGAUGAAUUAGUUUGGGAUUAACAUAUACACACUACUGUGUAUAAAACAGACAAUCUACAAGGACCUACUGUAUAGUGCAGGACAAUCUACACAAUAUUUUACAAUAACCUAUAUGGGAAAAGAAUCUGAGGAAGAAUGGAUAUAUGUAUAAGUGAUUCACUUUGCUAUAACCCCAAAAUUGACACAUUGUUAAGCCAACUAUAAUCCAAUAAAAUUAAAAGAAAGAAAGCCAGAUAGUUCUUUAAAAAGUUAAACUUCCAGCGCCUUCUUGACUUUGUAGAACACAUGACUGUGGCCUUUUCCAAACUCCUCCUCAUGUCCUCUGUAUACUGACUGAAUCUUUAAAAGCAAUAGAAGAUAUGUUUCCAUUUUUUUCCCCAGGGUGUGAUUUUUGGUUCCAUAUUCUCUUUCCCAGAAAAUGGACCACAUAUUCAAGUGUCUUCUCCUCUUGCUUUAGGGAAUAAUUGGAUCAUAGACAAUAAUUCUGUAUCAGGCCUUUUUAAGUUGAGCCCUUAUUUCCUAUAAGCACAAAGUUAUCAAUUCAUUUUUUUCCCCCGGAAGCCUAUUUCAUUCAAUUUAAUAUAAUUCUACACACAUUGAGUGACUUCAUAUGCCAAGCAUUAUUCUAGGCCUUUAGGGAAAGACAUGACCCAGAUAUACUCAAAUUCCUGCCCUCGCAGAGCCUACAUUCUAGCAGAGACAGUAAACAUAAUACAUGAAGCAAUAUGUUAUAUUCCUUGUAGUAGAUGCUGUGGAAAGGAGGAAAAUAAAGCAGGGUAAUGAGGUUCACAACUUUAGGGGCCUGCAGGGGAGGGUUUUGUUUGUUCUUGCAAUUGUAAAUAAGGCUGCUGUUUGAGCAGAGACCUGAGACAGAUAGGGCUUUAAGCAUGUAUCAGGAGGUGUGUCACAGGCAGAGAGGACAGCCUGUGCAAAGGCCAAAGGGCAGGAACAUGCCUCGUGUAUUUAAAGAGCAAAGAGGACAAUAGGACCGCAGCAAAAUGUGUGAAAGGGGGAGGAGUAGUAUAUUGGAGAGGCACAUAGAGGCAAGAUCAAGACCGUGUCAACCUCAGAAGGGAUUGGUUUUAUUCUUUGUUGACCGUGUCAACCAAAGAAGGGAUUGGUUUUAUUCUUUUUUGCUUUUUAGGGCUGCACCUGCAGCAUAUGGAAGUUCCCAGGCUAGGGGUUGAAUCGGAGCUGCAGCUGCCAGCCUACACCACAGCCACAGCAACACAGGAUUCAAGCCAUGUCUGCAGUCUACACCACGGUUCAUAGCAACACUGGAUCCUUAACCCACUGAGCAAAGCCAGGGAUUGAACCUGCAUCCUCAGAGAUUGUAGCUGGGGUCAAAACCACUGAGCCACAAUGGGAACUAUAAGAGAAUGGUUUUAAUCUGAGUGAAAUGGGAGUUAUGGCAAAAUAUUGGCUUUCUAAAAAAAAAUACCUCUUUGGAUGUUGUGUUUAGAAUAUACUGAGUAGGGCCAGGACAGAAGUUAAGAGGCUAGUUUGAGAUUGUGCUGGUAGCCCAAGCAAGUGAUGAUGUAGUUUGGACCAUGGGUUGAUCAGUAGAGGUGGUGAGAAGUAGUUCAGUGCUGCAUAUACCUUGAAAGUAAAGUUCAAUAGGAGUUCAUGAUAGAUUGGAUAAAGAAUGCUAAAGAAAAAGGACUCAAGGUUUUGGUGUGAGAAGCUACAAAGAUGAGAUUGCUGUCGUUUGAGAUGUGAAAGGCUAUAGGAAGAGUAAGCUUGUGAGGAAUAUUGGACAUACCGAGUUUGAGAUGACUGUUAGACCCUUGAUGGGAGAUGUAGGGUCAUUGCUGAUCAUCCAUAGGUAGGGCUUAUGAGAAUCUGUCGGAUAUAUCUGAGCCUAAAAGAUGGUGUCAUCAGCAUAUGGAUAGUGAAAGUUGUAAGGCUGAAGGAGAUGAUCAAGUGAGUAAGUUUGGAUAAAGUAGAAAGACAAACUGAACUCAACCCUGGGGGUUUCCAGCACUAAGAGGUCAAGAAGUAGAGGAAACUGUCAAGGAGAGGCCAAGACGGAGUGACCAUCCAAGUAGGAGAAAAACUAGGAGGGUGCAGUGUCUUCAGAACCCAGAAACAGGAGUUCCCAUUGUGGCUCAGCAGGUUUAGGCCCCCACCUAGUACCAUCAAUGUGGCUUUAGUGGGUUAAGGAUCCAGUGUUACUACAGACUGCAGGGUAGGUCACAGAAUCAGCUCAGGUCCUGCAUUGCUGUGGCUGUGUGUAGGCUGGCAGCUGUAGCUUGGAUUCAUCCCCUAGCCUGGGAACUUCCAUAUGCUGCAUGUGCGGCCCUAAAAAGAAAAAAAAAAAAAGA
rnacentral:lncRNA from 1 species